AAAUAAGAAGCAAAAAUUGCAUUUAGUUUCGACCUAAAAAUAUGAUUAAAAUUAAUCCUUAUUUU
rnacentral:tRNA from 1 species